GACGAACCGUGCGAACGUUGUUCGGAAUCACUGGGCUUAAAGGGCGCGUAGGCGGACGACCAAGUCAAGGGUGAAAUCUUUCGGCUCAACCGGAAAACAGCCCCUGAUACUGGCCGUCUUGAGGGAGGUAGGGGCAUGCGGAACUUCCGGUGGAGCGGUGAAAUGCGUUGAUAUCGGAAGGAACUCCGGUGGCGAAAGCGGCGUGCUGGAUCUCUUCUGACGCUGAGGCGCGAAAGCCAGGGGAGCAAACGGG
rnacentral:rRNA from 1 species